CCUACGUGACGGGGAUAUGUGUCAGGCAGGGACAUCGUUGAGCAGAGGAGAAUGUUCGUGGCGAUCCGGAGUUGGUGGGUCGGGUAGAUUGCCGGACAGAUAGUCACCCUCGACGGUUCGGAGGAACUGGUAUUCCGGCAGGAGAAGGGAGUCGAGUGGUGGACGUGACAACGAUGACCGAGGAGGGAAACAACAGGAUCAGAAAUGGCGACUCGAACGAGAAUAACGAGAAUAACUAGAAAGUCCUAGAGAGGUCGGAGGAUAACUUAACCAGGCACUGGGUGCGAAACAUAGGGUCGGGAGACCCACCGUCUCCACCCACUCCUGACCUACAAAGCUCUCGACAACCUAGCCCCCAGUUACCUCUGCGACCUCCUCCAAGAAUAG
ensembl:lncRNA